AUUGGUGGGAGGGCCAAUGGCAGGUGAAAACCUUUUUUUGAUUGGCUAAAGACAGAGUAUCAAAUCUGAAUUUGCAUUUCACUUGCUUAAAGGGGAGGGGGAGAAGCCCAGCAGCUUCUAAAAUCUCUUUUAGGGGUGUGCGUAGGUGCGUGUGUCUGCCUGCUUCAGACUGCCCAGUUGAAGCGUCUUCCUUUACCUUUUUAAAAAUUUUAGGAGCUAUGAGGAAGAGCUUAAAAUGCCUCAAACUUUUUAUUUUUGAGGGAGGAGACUGGGGAGAUGGAUUUGAAGAGGAUUGACCAAAUUGGAAGAAAAUAUUUGUCCUCUGCUUUGGUGUCAGAAAAGGGAAUUUUCCAAUCUGCCACACCUCAGUGUUGCAGCAAAAAUAAUUCUUGGCUCCCCUGGAAACCAUCGGGCAAGGUAGGGCAGAACUGCUGCUGCUGUCGCCGUAACCCUGGGCUUCCUAUUGAAUGGGCUGCUCCCAAGUGAAAGGAUCUGCACUGAUGCUCUGGUCAUCUAAAAGUCCUCGAAUCAGCUCUGAGCUGAGCCCACCAUUGGAAGAACCUGCCUUUUGGGAGCUGCCGCUACCUUGUGCUUGGAAAGGGAACUCGACAGAGUAGAGUUCCAGCUGUAAGCAGGGGACAAUCUCUUGGCAACUCGGGCUCAGCUGAGGACGUUGUUUGUGCAUCUAAGCCAUCAUAUGCAGCAGUUUGCUUGCAGUUGUGUGGAACUGCAAAGAGGACCUGCUUGACCACCCUGCUUUCUGUAGAUGCUGAUAGAUGAACAGUCAUGCUGGAUGAGGUUGCUGAGGUGGGAUGAGGAUGCCAUGUUUAGAGAAGGAAAGACUUGGAGCACUCCCUGUGGCCAAAGGUGGUUAUGCCCUACAUCAAACCCCAGCUUCCAGUGGCUCCUCUGUUUCGCGCUUGAUUUGCUCCACUCAGAGAUACCUUUUGACCUUUCCUCAUUCUUGUGGACCUUUUACUCUCUGCGUUCUUGGUUACUGGCCCAACAGCCGUGUUUAUUCUUCCUCUUCUCUUCUCUUCUCUGCCUUAAUUCCCAUUAAACAAGGCAGAAAGGGGUGAUUGUCUUGGGAAGGAAGGUGGUUAGUAAAUAAAAGCCCAUGGUGUUGAGUGGUAAGGCAUAGUAGGUUAGAUAGUUUUCCUUCUUGUAAGUACUGUUGAGCCACCAAAUUGUGUGAUUCCCUGACCUCAAGUGUAGUCUAAUAUAAUGUGGACCUGGUCUUGUUGGUAGAUUAAUAUCAGGCUGCUGAUUAGAAACUAGAAGCAACAAAUCCUGAUCCUGACUCUAAGGUAGGUGGCAUAUGGCUGCUUCCUAGCUCCAUUACCUUAAACUUUAUCAUUCCAGACCUCACCCUUAACCUUCCAAAAAGUACCCUUUUCUUUCCGUUCUCCCAUCCCUGGCUUUUCUGUAGAUGGGUAACUAGCAGAGUACUAGCAUAAAGGGAGCCUGCUCAACUAGCUAGGCUGUGAGAUGUUUGGGAACCAUCUGGGUAGCACUGUAGACAGGGUGUGGCAGUAGCUGUUUACCUGGGUUUCCCACAGUCAGGGAAAGGAAGCCCCUUUGCUACUGACAGCUAUUCAUUACAACUUGAGCUUAUUCACUGUGUAAUUCCCAUAGCAUCCCUGAGGUCCUGGGAGCUGCCCAGGGUGCAGACAUGCUCUUUCCUUUUCAGAGUGGGUAUUUGUCUUACUCUCGACACACUGAGCUUCAAGGGGACUUAGGGUAAAUCUGGGAUCUGUAGUUUAGACUGGGCUGAGCAGUAACUGGAUUCUGGAUUUUUCCCUACUUGGAAUUUUCCUUUGAGGCUUUCAAUUGUCUUCAAAGUAUCUGCAGGCCAACAGGGAUAUGCUUUUCCUCUGCCUUACAAUAACAGCAGUGUUGAGUUAAAGUGAUGAUGUCCCUCAGAACUGGGAAGACAGCCCCAUUGUAAACACAAAUGAGAAAACAGCAGGUGCUUGCUAUGACAUCCAAAAGUCCCUGUUCAUCAAUAGCCAGAGGUCUAGGGUCUAAGGAGAAAAGGAGUAAUUCUGGAUAAUUCUACUAGGUACCUGUGAGAUCUCAACCCCAGCUCUCUACUGCACCAUGUAGAUGUGUUUCUCUGUCCCUGCCCCCUCCCUCUACUGUCCAAGGAAGACUAAUGAAUCUUACCUCAUGUGGUAUUGUUUCUCCCUUUGAGGCAAGCCUCUGAGGUCCUUGCUAAGAAAAGUCAGUUUGGAUGAGUUGUCUGUUACUUCAAGGAGCUGAACAAGUUCAGUCACUGCCUCAGUGGUGUGUAAGGGAGAGCAGGGGGUUGGAAGGACUGAUGUUUAAAUGGAGAGGUAAGUUGGAGGUGGAAAGGAAUAAACCUAGUUCAGAAUGAUACUCACGGGAGGACUAGAGCCACAUGUGCUUAAGUACAAUCUAAUGCCUUGCCCCUAGUCCCCAGCCUGGCUUCUGCAGUAUGACAGGCAAUAUUGUGUGUUGCCAGCCGAGCAAGCAAGACAGUUACCAUGCCUUGAGUAGGAUCUAGGCAUGCCUGGCACUUUCUCCUUGGCCUCUGAGUCUCUAGUUCUAGAAGACAGUUGUGGUACUGAAGCUGAGACAACAUGGCUAUAGAAUACAAAGUACCUUACCCAGGCCCCUACGGUCUCACCAUCUGGGUUCUACUGAGUCCUGUUCUUACUGGGACUAUGAAUUGUUCAGUGGAUAUCUUGCUCUAUUUUCUGGCUUGGGUAUGUCUCCAGUACUGUAGCUUUACAGGAGGAUGUGAAUGCUCAAAGGUCAUUUUUUAAUAUACAUAUAGCCAGCCUUUGGGAUAAGUAAGAGAUACUGCCCUUUUGAUUACCCUGCUGUCUAUGGGAGGUCCUUGUUUUCCUUUAUUUUUCUGAUCAGUGGCCAUGAGAAAAGUAUACACUGGGUUUGGUUCCUUGCUGGUUCCUUCCAACAGCUUUUGCACUGAUAAACAAGAAGCCUUAUAGUUUGUGCAGAGCUUGGUGGAAUGAUACCUAUAUGGGUAGAGUAUAGAAAUAGGAUGGAGGGAGCCUCAAAGGCCAUGUUUCUUGGAUAAAAGGAACAAGUCAUGAGGUUGGAUAUGUGGGAAGACAUAGACAAAUGUCUAGACUCUAGGUAGGGUGGAGUCCGGAUGAAACUCUAAUGAGGCAAGGAGAUGGGAUCAGAUAUCUCAGUCUCCAUAUGCCAUCCAUGGAAAAGGAGACUGCCCUCCCACCCUUUGCUAACACAGAUAUUACUUCCCUUUUAUUGUUAUAAAAGUGUGAUUAUUAAAUGACUUAAGUUGAAUUCACACAAUUGAUGAGUGAUGUUGAGAUUUGAGUCACCACUUCUGAUUCCAAAGCCUCAUUUUCUCCUAACCCUUGGGCUGAAGUCCGACAUUUUUGUGAAUUAACAUCCCCAGGAAACAAUAAAAUCUCCAGUAUUAGCAAACUAUGUCCCAGUAAGGCUGUCCACAUUCCUGUUUGGGGGAGGUGUGGCAGAUGUUACUUGGUGUCUAUGGAAAUGAAAAAUAACUUCUAGAUAUUGGUGGAUGUACUCAGAGCUAGAGGUACAGAGCCCUGAGACUAGCUUUCUUCUUGUGCUGUGGGUAUAAGGUUGUCUUUAAUAUAGCAGCAUAAAAUAUAGAGUAGCCAUAGAUUCCAUUGUAUGUGAAGGAAGAGGAAGACACAUUGAAAAUACAGUGACUAAUUUCUGUCAUAUUAGCACUCAGGAAACUGAAGCAGGAGAAUUGAGUUCUGAGCUAGCCUGGGCUAGCUUAGAUUAAGACCCUGUCUCAAGCACCCUCCUCCUCCAAAAGGAAAAAAAAAAAAAAAAAACACAAGGAAAACACAUUGAGGAGAGUGGAAAGAGGAGGUCCAGAUGAUAGAUAACCAAGUCCAUGUUAGUUGGGCUGUCUUCCAGAAGGUUAGAAUUGUUAUGGAUUCCAUCUCCUCUUUUAUCUAGUUAAACACAUCUUCACAAGUUGUCAGUAGCUUACAAAAGCAUGUACUGGGUUAGGAAGUGGUGGGAGGAGAGGACAGACUCUGAGUCACCAGCUUAAUGUUAAGUCACUGACAGUACAUGCCUGCCGUGGGCUAAUUUGAAUUGUGGUCUCUCCUGGGACCAUGGUUUCUAUAGGGAAUGGACAGGACCAGGUUGGGAGAAGUCACCCGUAGUUAGGUGCUGUGUGCACAUUGUGUGUUCUGUGAGGUUAAGGCAGGCCAGUGGUGCUAAUCCGUAAGAGCUUCUGCUCCAUGUGAUCUACCUCAGGAUUCAGAACUCACUUACCGGGGAGGAGGUAGCUAAGGUGAGCCAUAUGCAAUUCCCUCCUCCUAGGCCUGACACUGCUACUUGGGACUACUUAAAAUAUAGGAGCUGCCACUGGCUGAAGAUGUGUGUUUAGAAGUUACAGCAUGGAGAGGUCAGUCAGGGAACGUGGAUUCAUGUUGUUUUGUGUUCAUGCCUGUGUUCUCACUUUGCUUGUCUAUGAUACGAUAGACAAGCAAAUGAAUGAGGAUCCUGUUGGAGGUUCCCACUGAUCUUACCCCUUAGGCCUGUCCUGAAUAUUUGUGAAGGUUUUGUUUAGCUAGAAACUUGAAGUCAGGAAAAUGAACCCAAGUUGUGAAGAGAGAAAGGAGGGAUCUUGAAGGCCUAAGAGCAGCCAAGUUUAGUUCCAAAGAGGCACUGUGGUACUAGCGUGAAUGACAAUUGCUGAUGAACAUUAAGGGGGUAGUAGAAGUGGGUUUUGGAUGGGUGGCAGUGAAAAGAAGGGGUUAGCUGAGUGGAGGUAGCUGGUGAGGACUUACCAGGUGGCAGGAUGUGACACUGUUCCCUCUUAGAGACAAGUAGGAGAUAAGCAUACGGGAGCUGGCUGUGGUGCAGGGCUCCAAUUGAGAGACCAUGUAUGUUCAAGGAAGGUAUUCUGCUCAAGGCCUGCCUUUGUGCGGAGAGGACUUUGUGUUUAUUUACCCUCUUUUUCUUGUACGGUUGAGACUCUAGCCUAGCUACAAUGUGACAAAAAUUCUCCAAAGCUGCCUGAGUAGGAGCCCCUGUGCCAAGGGACAUGUAGAACAGUCUUAAGGAUGUAAGGUGCUUUAAGGAGCCUUAAAGUCACUCCACAGAUCUCUUCACGUUAGCUGGUUCACUGGGUCUUUGCAUAACACUGAGCAGAGAUUGGUCCUGCCAUCAUUGAACAGAGCCGGGAGGAACCCUCUCAGAACCACAUUGCUUGUUUCGCAUUUCUAACCUAGGUCCCCUGUUCCAGCUAGACCAGGGGUUGGAGUGGAACUUUGAGGUCCUUGACAUUGUCUGCGUCUGAGAUCUUCACUUUUUACUGUGUACACUGGAGAGAGGAAGCUCCUGAUGCCUUUAUUCUCUCUCCCACUGCUUCUCUGACUCCUUGGAGCUCUUGUGCUGUCUGGCUUGCACUUCUUGGCUACAAUGCCAGGCAUUCCCCAUGUUCCUGAAGAGAUAUCUUGUUAAGCCAUUUCCACACCUUCAUAGAAUUUUCCCUGUGAAUUCAGGCAUAUUUCGGGUGUGUGUUGCUCACUGAGAGAGGAAGUCUCACUGUGGCAUCUUGAAGGUUUUCCCAUCCUAUUUGUGAGGGAUGCCUGGAGCUUCCUCAGUAAGUAUAUCAUGUUUGUGUUAUCUGUUUGCUGGCUGACAUGUAUCACCCACUGGAAGCACUGGCUAAUGCAUUGCGUAGUUAGAUGCUAGAGAUACUGUCAUCAGCUCAGAACCCCUUCUUCAUGAUCAGUAUAGGAGAGUGGACCUCCCCUGUAUAUGAAAAUCGGGUGAGAGGAGUGAUGGGCCCUAGGCCUCUUUGAAUCCUGAAAACAGUCCUCAUUCUUUUAAGGGUACUGAGGGGAAGUAUUGCACUGUAUCUCCUCUUGGCUAUUCAGCCUCUAAGUGACCUUUAUUUUAAUAGGCCCAGGGUUCUGGUAGAGGGCUAGAGAAGUGCUUACCUUCACUUAUCAUGGACUUAGGCAUGAAGUGGUUAGACUUUCUCUGAGAGUGUUCCAUUCAGAACAAUUGAGGUUGGGUGGGGUCAGCAAACAUCUGGGUCUGUUUAUAUGUGUCUGUCUCUGUGUUCCCUGAACAAGUCUGUUUGUGAAUGAGAAGACACAUGGGAACACUUUUGGGUGGAUGCGUUUAGCAGCCUCCUGUUACUUUGUUCCGUAUUAGAGCUGGUUGUUUCUAGUCACCUGGAGAAUGCAAAAGAGAGUGGAUCCAACCCACAAUUGUGAGGGAAAUUCAUGUAGGUAUCAUGAAAAGCCUGUUUAUAACUUUGCUAAGUUCCCAGGGGGAGAUAGAACUUCCUGAGGAGACAUUGUCUGCUCUUGUCAGGUCUGUUUCGUUCUGAGGCUAUGGUACUUUGAAACUGUGUGUGGCCAAGUUACUAGGAUAUAAAGUGGCUCCUUGGUUCUACCUUAUUUCAACCUCACCUACCUUUGUGGCAUCCUUAAGGAGGGAGACUGAGAGAGACAAUGUAGGCAUAGAACCUGGGACUACAACCCAUUUACCUUUGCACAGAGUAUUUCUGACACUGAGCUUAGGAAUGAAUUGUUCUUAAGUCUCAUACAAGAAGUAGAGAAAGUAUAUGCUAUCUCUCAUAUCUUCCGGGGAAGAUCAUGCUAUCCCUGCACUUUUGUAUCAUUACUACCUGUAUCCUGGGCCAUUCCUCCCAGUGAAGGGUACUCUUGACAAGGAUUGUGAGUGGCAAGAUCAGAUGAGAUUUUCUAGACGAGUUUUCUAGAAGAGUUUCAGUAAAUCCACAGCUUUGGCAGUCACAGGUACUGUCUACGGUGCUAGAGGCUUAGGUGUAUGUUCACGUAGAUAGACUACCUAGCAGAACUCCAGAGUGUAAGAGAAUUAGUUACUGGCUCAAUGAAAGUUAUAUUAAGUGUGGACAAUUCUGUGUCCUUUUGCUUUAUUGUCAGCAGUAUGUUCAGUAUCAGAAGACUGGACAUGUGGACGGGCUGGGGAUGCUUAAGUGAGCUGGAUCCUGAGUUCACACUUGCUGUUCACCUUCUCCCUCCUUUCAUCUCUGUUUCCGACUGUCUUGCAUCCCUUAGCCAUUUCUGAACACACUCAUUUGUCUAUGGAGGAUCAGAUGCACAAAUGCUGAAGCCCCUCUGUGAAAUGGAAUUAUUUUCACUUAAUUUACACAUACCCUUGUAUGAACUCUUUGAGCCAUGCCCAGAUUUCUUCUAAUACCUAAUUCAAAGAAAAUGCUGACAAAUUCUUUUAAGAAUUCUUUAGAGGAUAGUGACAAAAAAAAAAAAGUCUGUGUAUAUAAGGUAAAGACGUAGUUCAUGGACAGUGAUUGGAGUGGAUUGAUACACAACCUGGGGAUAUAGAAAGCUGACUAUAGGCACCUUCGAAGUUACAUUGCUACAUUCUUGGAGUACAGUUCUUCUGGUAUCCGUGAAUUGAGUGACCUUGAUCUGGAGUGUAAAUAGACUACCCACUGCAGGGAUCCUGUCUCCAGGUUUAGCUUCCCAUUGGCCUCAGCAGAGAACAGUUUUCCCUAUAGUAUGUACCUAAUUUUUGGACAGUGGUUGUUUAGGUAUGCAAAUCCUAAACCCAGUUAGCUGUUAUUUCUUUUACGCUGAAAUCCUAAUGACCUUGGAUGUCUAAGACCUUGGCUAUCACUCUGCUAGGUAAGAAAGUCCAGCGUGAGUUGGCACAGAGAAGGAGGGGACACUGCCUCUGGCCAUGGCUGCUCUCCAAAACAGGUGAACUUUGUGUUUGAAAGGAAUGCAUUUAAGCUUUUGGGCCUAAUAGAAGUUACUUGUAUUUUCUCUCCUUUUUGCCCCUUCCUUCUCUCCUUUACCCCUCCCCCACCCUUGCUGCUUUCUCAACCACCAAAGAAUUUAAUCUGCUGCACAACAAACAAUACAGUUAUAAAACUUUGAAAACAAAAGGGUGUAGCCUCCCCAACAAGGGAAAGGGCAUGCUGGGUAAUGUCUCCAGGGAACAUGCCAGGCUUGUAUAGAGCCUGUGAGAGCCUAAUUGACUGGGUAUCUGGGUGUCUGCCCUGCCCAGAGCUAAGGUAUCUCUAGUCCAAAGAAGAAGGAAUUCAAAUGAAAGAGGUCAGAGAAGGGCUUACAAAAGGGAAGUUGUGUAUUUUCUCCCUCUGAUUUGAUGCUAAUGCAGUAAACUUUGCAACUUCCUUGUCUCCUUUUUCAUUUUGUCCCUCCUACCUCCCUUCACCCUCCACCUCCUCUUUCCUAAUGUUUUUGAGACUAGCAGACAGAAGUCAUGAUAACAGAAAAGGGUUAGAAUAGCAGUGUAGGUGCUACUACUGGCUGGGCCUGCCAAAGAUGAAACGGGGCUUGAGGCUUUUCCUGCCUACAUGCUCAGACCAGUCUCUGCUAAGCCCAGCCUCCUCCUCUGACCUGAGGCAGUGUAGCCACAUAUACAUCACAGUGUGCCCCAGUCUUUAUACUUCUAGGUAUGUACCCAGGUACUGGGCAGAACUACCACCAAGAAGUCAGUGGGUCCACCCUGCGUUCCUUAGGGCUGUGCUGAGGGGAUGGCGAAUUGAUAGGAUCUUUGCUAUGAGUGGUUUUGCCCUCUACAGGAGAAGCAAGGCUUUUGCAUAGAACUUAGUUGCUGAGAACCCAAUAAGUAAGCACAUGGUUUGGUGAGUAUGGCCCCAGAUGGGAUGUUAUGCCUGUCCUCUUAUCUUAAGAAACAUGGAACCUUGUUUCUUAGCAGUAGGAGGAGGAAUAGGCCAGUUCUGGCUAAAGGAGAGGUAGGGAAGUUGGACUUGAGUAUCUCUUGAGUAUCUUCCUGACCUGAUGAAGCUAGUAUCUCCUUACUGAGUCUGUCUCCUCUGAGCUGUAUAGACUAUUUAAGAAUGUUGUUGGAGUGGGCUGUUUGGAUCUAGGGCCAUGGGAGACUACAGGCAGGCUUAUCUUUCCUCUUCUGGCAAGCUUUAGCCUCCACGAAAGUGGUCUGGGCUGUGUUUCUUUUGCCUAUAAGAGCAAAGCUUUCUGCCAUAGCCAGGGUACAUUGCACUCUGGUCUAUACUCUGUACCUCCUUCUCUCCUCCUACACCUUGUGUAUUUCAUCCCAGAAGGCAGUGUGGUACCAUGCACUGUGUAGCCCAGAUAGGGUCCUGUGCCAGUACCUUAGUGCUCUGUACAGAAUUUUACUGAGUUUAGGAGUUUUUGAGACCCAAGACUUGUUCAGUAGCAUUAAGGAGGGAGGCAGAAAACCUAACCUUUAGAAAUGUCCUUGCCCAGGAACAUAGGCAAAUGUCCUUAUCUCUGAUUCAGUGGAACCAGGAGACUCAGUGCUGGCCCCCACAGGCUUCUGAACUUCUCCCUCAGUUGCCCAAGCAGGUACUUGAGAGACAUGCUGAAUCUUACCAUGACAGCUAAAGACAAAAUGUCCUGGAUGCUGGGCCUGGGCUGCUGCUGAGUGUGACAAGAAGUCAGGCGCCCUCUUCAGCGCACAUAUACAGGUGGUCUGUUUUGGAGGUAAGAUGUUCCUUUAUCUGUUUAAAAAAAAAAAAAAAAAAAGACCUCAGUAGCCUUCUCUCCCAAAGAUGAGUUCUUCUAUCUGGUGGGAACUCCUCAAUCAGUCUUUAGAGGCACAGGCAAGGAAAUGGACGGCAGGCUUCUGGCUCCCUCCCCCACCCUGGCUGGAAUUCUCCUCAUGCACAUAGCUGUGACUCAGCACUUGCUGCUGGGUCAGGAGGGAGAAGCUAUUGCCUGGCUGGAACCCUCCCACAUUCUGCAUGUGAGCACAUAGAACAGCACAGGCUGGGCCAGCAUGGUGAGGUUCCUGGGGCAAGUAUUUUCUCCUCUAACCCAUAUUCUUCCCAUGUUUUUGGGAUUUCUGUUCUGGGCCCAGGGUAUUUAGGAUUCUAAAACCCAUUCCAUCGGCCAUAGACUGAAGUAUAAAUAGUCUUUUUCUACUUUGCUUUUAACCGGUGACCCAUGAAAGGUGUUUAACCUUUAUUUGUACUGUUUGGCUUUCGUGGUUUGGGUUUUGUAUGUGUUAAUUUUACAUCUAGACAGAAUAUGACUUUUCCAGAUUACCAUAACUCUCCUGCAUGCUGUUGUUGCCUCUGGCUAUGCGUGUGGGUGUGUUCUGACCAGUUUUCCCUAGCUUCUCUUAACAGAUGAAGACGCGGAAGCCAUUCAGGACUACGGCAGGGCCCUGGUCUCAGCAUACAGGCAAGCAGGUGUCUAAUUUACCAAGGAGUGACAUUGCCUCUACCACUCUGGCCCCUGCCUUACCAAAGGAGUGACCUGUCAUGGGAGGGUAGAAUGGAUUCCAGAGAGAAAUAGGCAUAGGAACAGAUGGAGGCUGGAGAGUGGUGUCUCAGUCUUCUUCCCUGCUCUCUGGCCUGUUCAGAACUGCGACAGGAGUCAGGGCGUCUUUUCUAGACAACCCCGUCGAACCCAGUAACUUUAAAGUUUACUUGAAGCCAUUUAGUUGAGGAGGGAAAUCCCAUUCUUCUCACUGAGAGCAGAGCCCUGACAGUCCUAAGGUUUUCCUGGGCGGCCCUCUUAGACAUUCAGGCCUGCUGCUAGAGAGCCACAGUCUUCCAGACUCAAUCACAUCAUCCAGCUAUUCCAACCUAGUGAAGAGUCACCGCCUUGUUUCAGAAAAGGGACAUUGCUCAGCUGACUACGGGAAUCCUGCUUUUAUAGGAUACUGAUGCCUGGAUGGGAUUGGAUGGACAAAAGGUUUAAAUGCUAGGACUACUUCUUUCCCUCCUCUGGAGUUCACUGCUUAAGGUAUCUACUUUUAGUGAUUCUUAUUGACCAGAAAGCAGGGUUUGCAGUCCAUGGAUAUAACCCUAGACCUUACCUUUUCUUCACUGGUAGUUUCCCCUUGCCAGGCACUUUAUUUGCUGGAUAGGAAGAAAGGAGUUAGCUUCAUGCCAUGUUGAGGACUAAAAGAAACAGGUGUUUUCUAAAUGAUAGCAAACUGGGAUAGCCUUAGAGAAAGCUUUCUAGAGCUGAGAGAGGAGAUACCAGCACAGGCAGAGCCUCCUGGGAGGAUGGCUGUGCCCUGGAUCCCUGCAGGAUAUCUCUUAGAGGGAGGGGAUUUAGGAUGCUAGAGGAAGUUGCUAGGAAGAUUUGGCUGAAAUGGAAAUGAGCAGAGCUGAGUAUUAUCAUAUGCAAAUCUCAUCUUCAUUUACAGGGUUUUGACCCUUGUUAAUAACUGCCAUCUAAUCUGUUUAUGACCUAAAGCCCUCCCUAUCACGGGGCCACAGGCCCUAAUUUUGGCAACCAGUGUCAGUGUCACUCAGGAACCCAGUGUAUAGAUCUGCCCAAACUCCUCUGCAGCUAAGGCCCUGGAAAGCCCCAGGGAAGAUGCUGGGCCUUCUGUUUCUCCUCUGGCUGGCCCAGUUUCUGAGACACUAAAGCCUGUGCAGUGUCAGCAUCGCUAGGCUUCAUUGCCAUCAUCUUCUCUAGUGCUAGGAAGAAUAAAGAGGCACCAGUCGGGCAAAAGAACAAAAGCAGGUUCUCCUAGACUACCUGGCCUCUUGCAGCACCAACAGCAUGUUCUUAUCUUCACCCAGGUAUAGCAUGUUUAAGGUGAGUCUCUCCACCCCCAUCCAGAUUGUCUGAGCUAAAUACCCCUCCCCAGUCUAGCUCAGAGUUCAGUUCAAGAGAAAGGAGGUCACACUCAAGCUGUGGAUCAAGCAGCAACAGUGGGCAGAGGGGAAGGAAUACAGACAUUAGCUCGUCGUAUCCUGUAACUACAGUUUCUGGUGCAGACUUCGGAAUAGUAACCCGCCUCAUUGGACUCUUGGAACAAUUAAGUAUUGUGACUCUGGAGGUAUUCACAUUAUAUCUGCUCGGUUACCCUAUAAUAGCCAGGAGCCAUAAAGAGAGAUGUCGGUAUCUGGAGGCCAAAAAAAGUUGCUGGGAAACCUGAAAAAUACAGCUCUACUCUUUGUCUCCUUUCUCUGGGUUGUGACAGAGGAAACACACAGCAAAGAGGCAGUCCAAUGUGGAACAUAGCUUGUGAAUCUUAAUUUUUAGAUACAUUUUAAAAACAUACCUUGGUUUUGUGUUAGAGGAUCAUCUGUAUAAUGUAGUAAUAAGGUAACAGUUUUUUUCUAAAAAUCAUUGGGUUAAAUCAAGUUGCCAGCCUGCAGGGUCAUGGGAUGGAGAGGAGGACGGAACAUACUGUUUUUGAAUAAUACUUGUGGCAGAGUUGUCCUGACACAGGUGACUUACCUGGGUUCAGUUGUUAACAUCUCAUAGGUCACUGUCUUGAUGAAGUGACAUAAUGUAUCUACAGAUACCAUGAAUCUUGAGCAAUACUACAGAAAUUCAAGACAUUACAAGUGUACAUAUGUUGAAUGGAUUUGAUUCUUUUAUUUCAUUGUGUGUAAUCAUUUCUCAUGACUACUGUGAAGUGAUUCAGGAAACAAGCCUUGCACUGGUCUUGUCUGCUCAGUGUUGGAUGUGAACUCUGACGCUGCUCCGAGCAGCGUUGCAUUGGCUGUCAUCUGCCUCUGACAGGCAAAAUGAUUCUCAGGGCUGAGGCUGGUUCUUCUGACUGAACUUCUCUGCUUUCUUCAGUGAGAUCCUCUUCUUCUGGAAGCUGGUUUCACAUGGUGGCUUAGAUUUUUCCAUCUUUGUAUCUAGCACCAUUUGAAAUCAGUGUUUUAGGAGUAAGAAUUGCAGCACAGCAGAGGGUAGACUACAGAGGAACAGCUGUACACAGGACUGCCUCUCUCCUUCAAGAAAUCAAGGGAAGACUUGAACAGUGGAAUUUGCUCUUGAGUCUGUUUGGUUUAGAGGAAGUGAUAGAAAGUUUUUGUGCUAGGAAUAAGUGUCAGGGUGUAAUCAGGGGCAAGGAGUGAUCCGGUUUAGCCAGCAUUCCAUGGGUGGAGGAGUGUGCCUUGGGCCUGCACUGUUCAUUGUCCAGUAAUGUUUCCGGUGUCGGUUGUAGCAAGGAAGGGGUGAGGGUUUUGUAUGCGGAGGACUGCUUUAUUCACAUCAGUACUGCCUGCCUCUACCUGGAAGAUCUGUGGAGCACUCAGUCCUGGUUGCAGCACAGCUGAAAUCAGACUGUCACCUGCCUUGAGAUUCAGACCUGAAGAACACCACUGGUCCAUCUCUUACACAGGCUGACCGAUUUCUCCUGGUGUUCAGAGUCUGUUUUUGUCUAGCACCAUUUGAAAUCGGUUAUGAUGUAGGGGGAAAAGCACCAGCCUCCGAGCCUUGUGGUGUCUGGUCAACAUCAGCCUGUCAUUUCCUACAUGGGCAGAGCAAAAAAGGAAGAUCACAGUUUCCGAACUUAAUGCAUAUGUAUGUAUGUGGCUGUAAAAGUUAAAGAUCACUUAGUGGGGUUUUUUAAUGUUACAAUCUAUUUUUGUAAAAUAUCCUCAGUUACAAUUUCUGACAUGUAGUACUGUUACAAACUAGUUGCUGUUGAACUGUCUGUUAAGUGUUGGCUUUAAUAAAUAAUUUGCUACAUUUAAUCUA